AUUUACGAAGUCACCGUAGGCACCUCGUCGUCGACGAGAACGUCUCCUCCCACUGAAAGCGCAUCGCCGGAAAUCCUGAAAUAAAUCCAGUAAUAAUGCGAGCACCAGGAUUUGAACCCUAGUGGGUUGGAGAUACCACUGUCCACAUAACCAACUCAACCACAGGUCGGGCUGCAAAUGAGUCGAGCUCGAGCGAGUUGGAGUUGGCUCAGCUCAACUCAUAUGAAAAUUCGAGCGAGCUCAAACUAAGUGAAGCUCGUGAUCGAGUUGUAGAACAUGACUCGUGCUCAGCUUGUAACGAUCUCGAGUCGAUCUCGAGCUAGUUUUCGAGCUAAAUGAGAUGGUAAAAAUUAUAAAUCUAUGGAUGAAAAAAUAGAUAAAUUAAGGUGAAUAUGCCGGGAAUCUUUGCCAAAAUUAUAGGAUAUUUAACUAGUCGACCACGUGCCAUAAUUAGGCCUAAAUUUUCUCUGCACUUAAUUAAGUUUUCAUGUUCGUUGGUAAAUAAAAUGAAGAAAAAUUAUGGACAACAUAUAUGGUAAUAAAUUAUCUUAUUUCUAUUUAAUAUAUGGUAUGAUCAUUUAACAUAAUGACAUUUUAUCGAGCUAACGAGCUAAAAUCGAGCAAGCCAACAUUGGCAAGAUCGGCUCAAUUCUCGGUCGAGCUACAUAAAGUGUUCAAAUUCAGCUUGUUUUCUUUUCAAGUCGAUCACGAGUCGAGUUAAAAAACGAGUUGAUCUCGAUCGGCUCACGAGCCUCGAGCUUUUCUUGCAGCCCUAACCAUAGGUUGAUUCGCGAUUAUACGUCAAGUUGAAGACCCAUGUAUUCUUGAAAAAAAAUUGAAGAUGCACCUUGGUGUACAUUAUUGGCAAGGUCAUGGACUUGGUCCACCCUUAUGGCUUGAUGGGCUGACUUCCGGUUUGCUGGAGUGAAUAGCAAAAAACUACCACAUUACGGGCUAUCGUUCCGAAAAACUACUGCUUUUUUUAAUUUUUUAAAAAACUACCACAAAAGUGGCUGGCUGUUCCAAAAAACCCAAGUGGCCAAACGGUUAAGUUUUAACUAGGGUUAUGACAUGUGGGGCCCGCCCGUCAGGGUUUUGUCGGCCACAGUGCUCACGGCGCGCGGGUGACGGCCGUUAGGGCGCACGGGCCGUCCCGACCAGGUCAAACGGAUCCGGCCUGCCCUCACUCUGUCUUCCCCCUCUCUGUCUCCCUCUCUCUCGUGCGCGCCUCCCUCUCCGAUGGCGGCGGCGGCGGCGAAACUAGGCGAUGGCGGUCAUUCAACGGGUGGAGGUGGAAGGGGGGAUGGAGGCGGCGAGUUCUCAGAGGUUGAUAACUGGCUGGGGAGUGGUAGCUUCGCAACCCAGCCGGCGGCGCCGCCGCCGCCGCAGCGGACACCACAGGCUGCAGCUCUGAUGCAGGCUCCUACGCCACAGGCUACACCGUCGUCGCCUGAUGAUUGGCAGUUCUCGCUUGAGUAUAGAGCAGCGAGGUCUCUUGCUAGCGCUGUGCAGGCAGAUCCGGCCAACUCCCAGCACUGGGCCUCUGCAUUUGGAGGGGUGGAGUAAGUUUUUUUCCUCUUAUGAGCUCCUUCAACAGUUUCUACAUUUCUGCUUGUUCAUUUCAAACAACAUAGCAUAAUUUAGUUAGUUUUUUGACCAAACCCUAGGUUGAUGCUGCUGUGAUUCAUCGUAGAACAUGAACAUGCACUGAAUAAUAGUUGAGCAAACACUCUGUGGCAUGUUUUGGAUGCAACAUUAUCACUUAGCACUGAAGGAUUAGUUAGAUUUAGUAGAAAUGCACGGUGGAUUCAGAGAAGCAUUUUUUGGAUUCAGAUUCCUUACUGUACUUUAUAGUUAGUGUGCACUGAAUUUUUGUAGCAAAAAACACUUAGUUAGUUGGGCUUUUCAAAUAACAUAUUAUGUAAUGCAGGCUGGAUGAUGAAAUUUGGGAGGUUAGGCUGCAUUUCCAGGGCAGAGAUAAUAUGGAAAGGAGGUUUUCUGUUUCAGACAUCACAUUUCUGAACUUGAUAGCACUUACUGAGACUGAAGGCUAUGGGUCAGAUGACUACAUGUACUGGGUAAAAGAACAAGGGAUUGGACAGGAAGGUUUAUUUCUUCUGGACAGUCAAGAUGCAGUUGAAGAAAUGAUAGACCACUCAGAUUUCACAGUGCUCAAUAUCAUUGUUUCCAAGGCAAAUGAAGAUAGAGAUGUUGAUUGUAACAGGGCUCACAAUGUUUGUGAAGAACAAAUUCCAAUAGGCAGUCCAGUGGGGGGUCCUGCUUUUGUGUUAAGUCUGUCACAAGAUGGAGUGGUCCACCCUCUUGAAGUUAAUUUGAACACACAACAAAGCUGUAACUUCAACAUUUCAGAAGCUAAUGGUGGAGAUGAUGAUGGACAGGCUGCUGGUCAAGAGGAUGAUGAUAUUGACAAAUCAUCCUCAGACUUUGAGAUUGAUAGGGGUGACUAUAGAGGGAUAAAGAUGUCUUACAAGGCUUUGAAGAGAGGUGAAGAAAAUAUUGGAAAUGAAAAAGAAAGAGAUGUUGUAGAAGACAGACCACAGUUUGAAGGUGACAGUGAUGUUUCAGAGUUUUGGCAGGAGGAGAAAGAGGCUGACAGUGGAGAGGAAAUAGUUGUGGAAAAAUGCAGGCCUGAGAAACUCAAGCCUGUGAGAAGAGCAGCAGCAAAUCCAGGUCCAACUUCCAGAGCUCACAGUCAGCCAGAGAUCCCAAAGUUUCAAGAUUUUGUACCUGAAGCUGAUGAGUAUUGCUUCCCUGGUGAUGUGGGCAUUUCUGACUCAGAUGGGGAGACUCCAAGACUACCUUCUGGAAGGAAGAGAAGAUUGAAGAAGAAGAAAGAGAGGAAAUGGUAUGACCCAAAGGUACCUGAUGCACAUGAGCAGCUGUGCAAGGACCUUUGCUUCACCAAUGUAUAUGAGUUUAGAAAGGCAUUGAGAAAUUUUCAUGUUAGGACUUUGAGAAACUUUCAGUACCAUAGGAAUGAACCAUCAAGGGUUAUUGUUUGGUGCCCAGAGAGGAAGAAUGGAUGUGAAUUUUUCAUGACUGCAUCCAAAGUAGCCCAUGAAGAUACAUUCACAAUCAAGAAGUGCCACAUGGAUCAUAGUUGUGGAGCUUGUGGAGAGAGUACAAAGGUUACUGCUGAAUGGGUUGCAGAAGCUGUGGAGGACACAGUUAGAUCAAAUGUAAAGGCUAAUGUAGAGACAGUUCUCAAACAUACUAAGAAGAAGUUUGGGGUGCAUGUACCUAGGAGUUUGGCAUAUAGGGCAAGACUGAUGGCUGUUGAUGUUGUGCAAGGUGAUCAUAGAAAGCAGUAUCUGAGGUUGAGGGACUACCUACAAUGUGUGCUUGACACAAACCCUGGAAGCAGGUGCAUAGUGACAACUUUUGAGGAUCCUUUGAACCCAGCCCCCACACCAAGGUUCAAGUACAUGUUCUAUUGCCUCCAGGCAUCAAAAGAUGGAUUUCUUGCUGGUUGUAGGCCUUUCAUAGGACUUGAUGGUUGCUUCAUCAAGUUAUCCACAGGCCAGCAGAUAUUGGCAGCAACUGGGAGAGAUGGGAACAACAAUGUGUUCCCAAUUGCUUUUGGGGUGGUUGACAAAGAGGAUGGGCCUAGCUGGACCUGGUUUUUAAACCAACUUAGAGUCUGCAUUGGCACCAGCAACCAGUUUGGGAACUACACCAUCAUGUCUGACAGGCAGAAGGGCCUUCUUAAAGAAAUUAAUGAAGUAUUUCCUCAAUCCCCACAAAGAUAUUGCCUAAGACACAUAUAUGCCAACUUCCAGUCAGCUGGCUUUAGAGCAGAAGAACUUAAGAAAUGGGUUGACAAAGCUAGCUAUUCCUUCACUGAACAUGGUCACAAAGAAGGAAUGGUAGGUUUGAAAGCAGCAUGUGAACCAGCCUACAUGUGGUUGAAUGGCAUCCCUAAGGAGUGUUGGGCUAGAUAUGCAAUGGAUCAUGUGUGCAAGACUGACUUGGUAGUGAACAACCUUAGUGAGGUUUUCAACAAAAUGAUUCUAGAUGUUAGGUCAAAACCAAUUAAGACCAUGUUUGAAGGGUUGAGGACCAAACUAAUGGUUAAGUACCAGGGCAUCAGAGAGAAAACAGAGAGCUGUAGGUGGGAAAUAACCCUACAUUACAUGGAAAAGCUUGAGGAGAGCAAGAAGUGGGCUAAAUACUGUGAAGCAAACAUGGCUGGUCCCAACAUCUGGCAAGUAACUAGUGGAGAGAACACAUAUUGUGUGAAGCUUGAUGUAGGGAGCUGCUCUUGCAGGAGGUGGGACAUGACUGGAUCACCUUGUCACCAUGCAAUAUCUGCAAUGCAGAAGAUAAAAGUUCACCCAGAAGAUUAUGUGCAUCCAUUCUUUAAGAAGCCAAUGUAUAAGGCUACAUACCAGCACAUCAUCUACCCUGUCCCUGGCCCUGAAUUCUGACCCAACACCAACACACCAAACAUAGAACCACCAGUUUUUAGGGAGAAGAAAGGCAAGAAGCAGACAGCUAGGAGAAAGGGUGAAUUUGAGGUGCCAGCUCCAAAGGAUACAUCAAGGAUGGGCACAAUAACAUGCAGUAAUUGUGGUAUGCAAGGCCAUAGGUGGACAAUGUGUGGAGACAGACUUAAGGCCAAGUUUAUGACAAGGAAAAACAACCACCAGGAAAACAGGGCAUCCUACCCAGCAACUUCAGCACCAAUCAGGCCACCUCCAUCUAGGGCCACAUCAUUAGGUCCAGCUCCAGCUUCAGGUUCUGCUCCAGCUUUAGGACCACUUAGGGGCAGGAAACCAGCAACAGCUUCAACAAGGGUAACCGCAUCUGCUACAACAAGGGCAACCACAUCUACUGCAGUUUCAACAGGUGGAUCAAGAAAGAGAAAGAACCCAUCACCUGCUUCAGCACCAGCCAACAACACCAGGUCAAGUGCAUCAUCUCCAGCAAAGAACACCAGGUCAAGUGCAAGAGGUUUCAAUGCUCCAAGGGCAGCAUCAACAUCAGGUCAAGCUAAUGUUGGUUCUAAGAGGAAGAGGAAGGCCCCAAGCAAAUUUGCUUUGUGUUUCACAGCCAGUGGCAAUCAUUGAAUGUGUUGCACUCAACUAUGCUUUAUGCCUCGAACUCUGCUUGUUAGGCAUGCUUGCUAUCUGUGUUAUUUGCAGUGAACUCUGUUUUCAUUUGAACAAUUAAGUUAUGUGGUCUAUGUAUGAACUGCUUGGAACAAUUAAGUUAUAUGGUCUGUGUUUGAACUGCUUGGAACAAUUAAGUUAUCUGCUGCCAAGCUCUAUUUUGAUUUGAUAUGUCCUAGGUUAUGAAUUGUUUCAUAUGAAAUUAUUUCUUAUGCUGAGCAUUGUUAUGUAGAUCAAGUGAUUUAUUUUGUUGAUAAUUGAUUGAUAUGAUUAGGUCAAUUUGGUCACUUUGGGGGGCAACUUGUCACCAACUCUAAAGCCACCCAAAUUUGGCCACUUUGGGUGGUUACUUGUCGACCAACCCCAAAGUGGCUAUUUAGGACCAAAACCUAACAUAUCAAAACUAAAACAUCAAGAUUUGCCCAUCUAGGCACCAAACCCUAAGAGAUCAAACCUAAAACAACAAGAUAUGGCCAUCUGACCAAAACAUCAAGAUCACCAGAUCAAUUCAUUCAUACAUACAAAUAUAGAUAAAAGAUUCACUCAUAAAUUGCAUCAUAGACAGAUUGAUUCAUCACAUAGAUAGAUCAUUCAACAUUUUUCUUUCACCAGCUUCAUACAUUGCAUUGCAUCAUAGACAACUUGAUUCAUCACAUACAUAGCUCAUUCAACAUUGUUCUUACACCAACUUCAAACAUCACAUAGAUAGAAAGACAGAUCUAGGAACACA